rnacentral:rRNA from 1 species
AUCUUGACCUCAGAUCAGGCAAGGCUACCCGCUGAAUUUAAGCAUAUUAAUAAGCGGAGGAAAAGAAACUAACAAGGAUUCCCUCAGUAACAGCGAGUGAAGCGGGAACAGCUCAAAUUUGAAAUCUCCGACGCUUGCGUCGGCGAGUUGUAGUUGCGAGAAGCACUUUCUAGGCGGAUCGGUGGUGUCUAAGUUGCUUGGAACAGUGCGUCAUAGAGGGUGACAACCCC